UUCCGUAAGUGUCAACGAAGACA
rnacentral:snRNA from 1 species